GUGAAUCAUCGAAUUUUUGAACGCAAAUUGCGCCUUUUUCGAAAGGCAUGUCUGUCUGAGGGCAACAUUUAACAAAUAAUGUGCAGCGGUUUUUGUUGCACACGUUGAUGAGCUUUCCAAGAAUUUUAAAUUUUUGGUGGCGCAUAAUGAACAGCGUGUAGCUUUUUUUUCAGCUAGAGUGUAGUAAAAUCUUUGUUUGGGUUGUGGAAAGGGUAAUCGUGAGAUGGGUGUGGUAAUUUUUUAUUAUUCCUUACCCAAUGCCACUCUUUCUCACGAAAGAAUGUCUAAUCUUCAGGGCCU
rnacentral:misc_RNA from 1 species